UCUGAGCCGAUCUAGGACACCCUGCCCAGCUCCCCUCCAUCCAGCAGGACAGCCUUUUAAACUCAGCCCAGCCCCUCCCUGGGCAGGCGAUGUGGGCAGGGGACAGGGCACGAACUUGGGUCAGGAGCUCCAUUCCAACGCUGCAGCGUGACCUGCCAGCCGGCGGAACCGUGAGCCGUCUCCAGCCUCCUCAGCCUUAAAGCAGGAAUAAGGCCCCCGGCAACGGGCUGGACAAGAUGCGCCAGCUAGUGCGCUGUGCACAGAGCAGGCCAAGUGACAUCACCUCCCUGGGCCUCAAUGUCCCCACCUAUAAAAUGGGACUUGGAAAACCUACCUCGGGGUGCCAUGAGGAUUAUUGGGAGCCAAGCAACCAGAAAGCACCUGCUGAUGGCAGAGAGCACUGGAUACCCAGGCAGGAGCCCUGUUUCUAGACCCAGCUCUGCAUGACCUCUGUGUGACUGCAGACAGUCCACCUCACUUCUCUGGGCCUCAAUUUCCACGCAAAAUGGUGGAUGGGUGGAUAUGCAGAAAAGGAUCCUUCAGGAAGAGCACACAAGAAACUGGUAAGCGUGGAAGCCUGCGGGAGGAGAAACGGGCAAAUGGAGGGAACAGAAUGGGAAGAAAUCUUCCUGCCAAAUAUCCUUUGAAUCUUUUGAAUAUUGUACCACGAUGUAUUGACUAUUAAACAUUUUUUAAAAAAAUAAUAAAGACUACUAGAGCAAUAUGAAAAAAUGCUUACGUUAGGUGAGAAAAAAGAUAAUCUCUACAUUCAAUGGAAUUUCAGCUACAUAACAUAAAUGCAUGUUAAAAUUUCUAUCUAUGGAAGGAAGAUCCUAGGUAAUUUUUCUUUCUUUUUUUUUGCAAUUUUGUUCCAGAAAUUUCUAUAAGUAUAUAUUGCUUUAUGAUUAGAAAAAUAAAGGUGACAGAAAAUGUUUAUAGACUGCUAAGAUAAUUAUACAUUGUAUCUAAUCUCAACUGUGUAAACAAGUUAUUGAAAAAGACGAGAAGGAAAUAUGCAAAAUAUUUGCAAUGGUGGCAUCUGGGUGUGAGAUAAUAGAUGAUUUUUAAACUAUUACAAUGAUCUUAUGUUGCUUAUGAUCAGAAGAAAGGAAUUAAAGAAGUCUGGAAGGAAGGAAGGACAGAAGGAGGGAAAGGGGGGUGGGGGAAGAAAGGGAGUCCAGAAGAAAGGAAUUCUUGAAAAUAUCAGUUGUAUCAGGGUGGUAAGUUUAUGGGUAUUUUUUGUUGCUUUGUUUGUUUUUCCAAAUUAUUCAUAAUGUAGUUUUGUUGUUAUUUCAGCAGGAGCAAAACCCUCAUGGCUGUGGAGCAGGAUUCCACUCCUUUAAGGCCUGCUGAUUUGUGCUAAAGAGAUAGAGCUCUUAAUUACUUGUUAUUCAUUCCAAGCAACAAGUCUCAAGGGGUUCCUUGGAUGGUGGGAGAUGGUACAGAUGCCAUGUCACUGGGGAUGGAGAGUGAGCACCACAGCAUCCUGAGGCCCUCAAAAUGUCUUUUAUAAAAUUUUUUAAUCAUAUUUUUUAUUGUAGAAUAUAACAUAUAUACUUAGA